CAUGCGUUGGUCUGCACUGCUUUGGAUUGUUAUCGAGCAGAACUCAUCAUCAGCAUGGGUGCAUGUCAUCUGGAACGAUGGUUGAAGCACGAAGGGGCAUGUGGAUCUGUG